AAACCAAACACACAGCAGAAUUUUAUAGGACUGUAGUAGUUUUUGUUAGGUUGUCAAAUUAUUUUAAGCUCAAAAUUAAAGUAAUUAAAUCUGUGACUCUCAACUGGGGGAGGUGGGCACACACAGAGAGGGGAAGUUAAAAUCCUUUUUUUCUUCCAAACCUCACACAGACCCACUCGGCUGGUCAUUCCCAUUGCUGGAAUUAUGUCCUGUUCCUUAGGUUAAAAACAACUGCCUUCAUGCCUAUUAAAAAUAAUGUUUCUUCCUUUCCUGAGUGAUUGUGAAAUGAGCCAUGGUGGCAAGGUAGGCACGAACGAGGGAAACUGAGUCCAUGCCCACAUUUGAUGGUGGGCAAGAACAGAAGGAAAUUGGGUCCAUACCCACAUUUGAUGGUGGGUGAGAACAGAAGGUAACUAGGUCCACAUCUAUAUUUGAUGGUGGGCAAGAACAGAGGGAAACUGAAUCCGUGUCCACAUUUGAUGGUGGGCAAGAACAGAGGGAAAGUGUGUCCAAGUCCACAUUUGAUGGUUAGCAAGAACAGGGGGAAGCUGGGUCCACGUCCACAUUUGAUGGUGGGAGAGAACGGGGGAAACUGGGUCCACGUCCACGUUUGAUGAUGGGCGAGAACACGGGGAAACUGGGUCAACGUCCACAUUUGAUGAUGGGCGAGACCAGGGGGAAACUGAGUCCACAUCCACAUUUGAUGGUGGGAGAGAACAGGGGAAAACUCGGUCCACGUCCACAUUUGAUGGUGGCUUUUAAUGCACUGCAGCCUGUGUCCCCUUGACCUUCACGAAUUUUCAGGUAGUAAGAAAGCAAUUUUUCUUACUGGAAAGGAGAAAACUAAGUGGCUGCAAAGUAAUAUAAUUUCCUUAAAGCAAAACAACAGAGAACCAACUUUGACUUUUUCCACAUUACCCAGUAAUUCUAAGACUAAGGGUUUUGUCAUGUUACAGCAAAUGCCGUUCAUUAGGGGGAAAUUGGAAGUCAGAACAGUGUGUGCUAUUCAAAUUCUCAAUGAAUAAUUAACUCAAAUGGGUUCAGAGUGCUACAAAAUGAAAUUAAUUUGUUUUUAGUUUAACCCCAAAUCCCCAAUCCCUUGCCAAAUGAUCCGCUAUGUAUCCUACAUAAAGACAGGGUCUUUCUGGCAGAAAACCAUUAAAAGUUUUUAUUUGCAGUAAGAGAAGCAUGCCUUCUUAUCAAACAGGUGCAUGGCCCCCUUGCGGGGGGGUCACCCAUCACCUGCAUCCCCGUGUGUCACGGUGUUGCCGCACACCAUUAACGCAUCAAAAUGGAAAAGGAAAUGUAAGCAGUGUUUGCUGUCCAAAGUUCACGUCAACAACUCCUUAUUAUGAAGGCACUUCUGAGCCUUUCCUCCUGCAUCUGGGAGCUGCCAGCAACCCAGUUCCAGGAGAGAAAAUAGCUCGACACCUCCUGCAGCCCAUGGAGUCCUCUUGUUGGGACAAGGUCCCCCCAGGAGAGAGGAGCCCCCAGCAGGGUCAACACUGGAGGGUCAGGGACCACGGAGCCCGGGGCUGUGGACCACACCAGCCCACGGCCACUGUAUGCCCCAGACCAACACGAGAAGAGUGCAGACCAACAACAUCUUCGUCUACGGUAGGUGUCACGGUUAUCGUUCCUAAGAGAGUCCACGGCCACUUCUACCAGGUGCCCUCCAUUCUUCCCCUGCCCCAGCUGGUCCCCCUGUGACAGCCGUGUCUCUGAGAACGGGGUGUGGAGCCAGGGGGAAAACACAAAAUAAACCACCUGCUACUAGAAACAGCCUCGCUGUCCUCAGGGAGCCGGUCCCGGGGCCAGCCUCGCUGUCCUCAAGGAGUCGAUCCCGGGGCCAGCCUCGCUGGACUCAGGGAGUCGGUUCCAGGACCCCAUGGACACCAAAUCCAGGCACAUUCAAGCCCCACAGGUGGACCUGCCGAACCUGCGUGUACAAAGAGUCGGCCCUCCGACACGCGUUUCACAUGGCAGGAACGCUGUAUUUUCUGCGUGUACAAAGAAUCAGCCCGCCAACAUGCGUUUCACGUGGCAGAACACUGUAUUUUCUCCCUGAGUUUGGUUGAAAAAAUCCACCUAUAAGUUGACCCGCAAAGCUCAAGCUUGUGUUGGACAAGAGUCAACUGUAUGCAAUUGACACUGAUUCCUACCAACAAUAUCCAAAUCUUAUCAUGACCAGCUCGAUAAAGAGAAUGAGCAAAAUUUAAAAACUAAAGCAGAGUGUUUUCCUGCGAGUUGGCGCACUGCGUAAGCCCUGUGGGAAAGACAACACUGGCUGCUGACCAAACUCCAUCGGCCUCUUCCUCCGUCCUGAGGGCAUCUUCCUCCAUCCUGACAGCAGCCUGGGCUUACCUCAGUCCCAGGGCGGGGGAGGAGGACGCACUGUGCACCCUCCCAGCUCUCCUCCGCCCCUUCCCUCAGGCUGGCCCAAGAGCAGCCUGGACAGUCAGGUGCUCAGGACACCGAGCUGCCCCUCCUCGGCCCACAGCCUCAGGCCACCUGUCUCAUCUGUGACUGAGAAACAGCUGCAGCUGGAGGCGGGAGGCGGGACAUGCUGGGAUCUACCCAUGGCCAGGCCGAGCUGCUCUGAUCACUCAAGCUUCACUUUCAUCACUUGCUCUACCAAAUAAACAAGAAUAAAGUACGCCACGUCCUCCUUUGCACACACUCCCAAGCCUCCCAUCCCACUUCCCAGCGCUGACCCCAUAAGAACACUUUCUGCGCCUUUCCAGGUAUUUUCUAUCCUCCUCAAGCACAGAGCCACAUUCAGAGUGAAUUUUUUCUUUUUUUUAACAGAAAUGGCACCAGGGCAGAUAAUGUUUUUUUGUACCAUUUCUUUAGUUUCUUGGGCAUUUUCCGCACCAGGACAGAUGGGCUCUGCUCUCCUUCCUCCCCACCGAAGGCUGCCUCACAGCAGCCACACACAGAGCCGUAAGCCCUCGCAAGACUGUGGGUGUCUCGGGGUGCCCCACGUCCCCAAAGACCAAGGGGUCACAGAUCCACACUGUCCAACAACACUUCAGACAUGGCCUCGAGCCUGGGAACCCUGCUGGCCAGCCCAGGCCAGCAACAGAAUAGAGGUGUGAGAGGUAACAUUUGCACUUCUUAAAAAAAAAAAAAAA